UACGAAGGUCCCAAGCGUUGUUCGGAAUCACUGGGCGUAAAGGGUGCGUAGGCGGCGCGGAAAGUCAGAUGUGAAAGCCCCGGGCUCAACCCGGGAACUGCAUCCGAUACUCCCGUGCUAGAGGAUUGGAGAGGAGUCUGGAAUUCACGGUGUAGCAGUGAAAUGCGUAGAUAUCGUGAGGAACACUCGUGGCGAAGGCGAGACUCUGGACAAUUCCUGACGCUGAGGCACGAAGGCCGGGGGAGCAAACAGG
rnacentral:rRNA from 1 species